GCCCGAGUGGCGGAAUUGGUAGACGCAGGGGACUCAAAAUCCCCCGAUCUUUGAUCUUGUGAGUUCGAGUCUCACCUCGGGUACCA
rnacentral:tRNA from 1 species